rnacentral:rRNA from 1 species
UACGUAGGGGGCAAGCGUUGUCCGGAUUUAUUGGGCGUAAAGAGCGUGUAGGCGGCCAGGUAGGUCUGCUGUGAAAACUCGAGGCUUAACCUCGAGCUGUCGGCGGAAACCAUCUGGCUAGAGUCCGGAAGAGGAGAAUGGAAUUCCCGGUGUAGCGGUGAAAUGCGCAGAUAUCGUAAGGAAGACCAGUGGCGAAGGCGGGUCUCUGGACAGUUCCUGACGCUGAGGCACGAAGGUCAGGGGAGCAAACGGG